rnacentral:rRNA from 1 species
GACGAACGCUGGCGGCGUGCUUAACACAUGCAAGUCGAACGAAGUGGCGAACGGGUGAGUAACGCGUAAUCAACCUGCCCUUCAGAGGGGGACAACAGUUGGAAACGACUGCUCAUACCCCAUACUGAGGGAGGGGAUUGCGUCUGUUUGGCUAGUGGGGGGGGUAACGGCCCACCAAGGCGAGGAGCAGUAGCCGGUCUGGGGGGAGUAAUGGCCACAUUUGGACUGAGACACGGCCCAGACUCCUACGGGAGGCAGCAAGUGGGAAUCUUCCGCAAUGGACGAAAGUCUGACGGAGCAACGGCGCGUGAGUGAUGACGGCCUUCGGGUUGUAAAGCUCUGUUAAUCGGGACGCGGUACCGGAAUAGAAAGCCACGGCUAACUACGUGCCAGCAGCCGCGGUAAUAC